UAUAGAGAGCUUGCUUUCUAGAGACCGGCGGAUGGGUGAGUAACGCGUAUGCAACCUACCUUUUACAGGGGAAUAGCCCGGAGAAAUUCGGAUUAAUGCUCCAUGGUUUAUAUGAAUGGCAUCGUUUAUAUAAUAAAGAUUUAUCGGUAAAAGAUGGGCAUGCGUAUCAUUAGCUAGUUGGUGUGGUAACGGCAUACCAAGGCUACGAUGAUUAGGGGUCCUGAGAGGGAGAUCCCCCACACUGGUACUGAGACACGGACCAGACUCCUACGGGAGGCAGCAGUGAGGAAUAUUGGUCAAUGGAGGCAACUCUGAACCAGCCAUGCCGCGUGCAGGAUGACGGUCCUAUGGAUUGUAAACUGCUUUUGUACGGGAAGAAAUGUAAUUACGUGUAAUUAUUUGACGGUACCGUAAGAAUAAGGAUCGGCUAACUCCGUGCCAGCAGCCGCGGUAAUACGGAGGAUCCGAGCGUUAUCCGGAAUUAUUGGGUUUAAAGGGUUCGUAGGCGGUUGAGUAAGUCAGUGGUGAAAUCUUAUAGCUUAACUAUAAAAUUGCCGUUGAUACUGCUUGACUUGAAUAGUAUGGAAGUAAUUAGAAUAUGUAGUGUAGCGGUGAAAUGCUUAGAUAUUACAUGGAAUACCAAUUGCGAAGGCAGAUUACUACGUACUUAUUGACGCUGAUGAACGAAAGCGUGGGUAGCGAACAGGAUUAGAUACCCUGGUAGUCCACGCCGUAAACGAUGGAUACUAGCUGUUCGGUUUUCGGACUGAGUGGCUAAGCGAAAGUGAUAAGUAUCCCACCUGGGGAGUACGUUCGCAAGAAUGAAACUCAAAGGAAUUGACGGGGGCCCGCACAAGCGGUGGAGCAUGUGGUUUAAUUCGAUGAUACGCGAGGAACCUUACCAAGGCUUAAAUGUAGAUUGACAGGUUUAGAGAUAGACUUUUCUUCGGACAAUUUACAAGGUGCUGCAUGGUUGUCGUCAGCUCGUGCCGUGAGGUGUCAGGUUAAGUCCUAUAACGAGCGCAACCCCUAUUGUUAGUUGCCAGCGGGUCAAGCCGGGAACUCUAACAAGACUGCCGGUGCAAACCGUGAGGAAGGUGGGGAUGACGUCAAAUCAUCACGGCCCUUACGUCUUGGGCUACACACGUGCUACAAUGGCCAGUACAGAAAGCAGCUACCAGGCAACUGGAUGCGAAUCUCAAAAACUGGUCUCAGUUCGGAUUGGAGUCUGCAACUCGACUCCAUGAAGCUGGAAUCGCUAGUAAUCGGAUAUCAGCCAUGAUCCGGUGAAUACGUUCCCGGGCCUUGUACACAC
rnacentral:rRNA from 1 species